rnacentral:rRNA from 1 species
CAGUAGCCGCGGUAAAACGAAGGGUGCAAGCGUUACUCGGAAUUACUGGGCGUAAAGCGUGCGUAGGUGGUGGUUUAAGUCCGUUGUGAAAGCCCUGGGCUCAACCUGGGGAUUGCAGUGGAUACUGGGUCACUAGAGUGUGGUAGAGGAUAGCGGAAUUUCCGGUGUAGCAGUGAAAUGCGUAGAGAUCGGAAGGAACAUCUGUGGCGAAGGCGACUAUCUGGGACAACACUGACGCUGAGGCACGAAAGCGUGGGGAGCAAACAGGAUUAGAUACCCCGGUAGUCCCUGUCUCUUAUAC